AAAUUGAAGAGUUUGAUCAUGGCUCAGAUUGAACGCUGGCGGCAGGCCUAACACAUGCAAGUCGAACGGUAGCACAGAGAGCUUGCUCUCGGGUGACGAGUGGCGGACGGGUGAGUAAUGUCUGGGAAACUGCCUGAUGGAGGGGGAUAACUACUGGAAACGGUGGCUAAUACCGCAUAACGUCGCAAGACCAAAGAGGGGGACCUUCGGGCCUCUUGCCAUCAGAUGUGCCCAGAUGGGAUUAGCUAGUUGGUGAGGUAACGGCUCACCAAGGCGACGAUCCCUAGCUGGUCUGAGAGGAUGACCAGCCACACUGGAACUGAGACACGGUCCAGACUCCUACGGGAGGCAGCAGUGGGGAAUAUUGCACAAUGGGCGCAAGCCUGAUGCAGCCAUGCCGCGUGUAUGAAGAAGGCCUUCGGGUUGUAAAGUACUUUCAGCGGGGAGGAAGGUGUUGUGGUUAAUAACCACAGCAAUUGACGUUACCCGCAG
rnacentral:rRNA from 1 species